UCGAACGACUGUGUCAAGUUAUACAUAUACAUCAGUUUUCUUGCGAUCACUGAAGUUGAUCAACUUUAAACGUUGUCAGUACUUGCAUGGGUGACCUUCUGGGGAUCACGUGUUAUUGGUU
rnacentral:rRNA from 1 species